UGCCCAUAGUGAAGGAGAAUUUUAAACUACUAAAAAUAUAUUCGUUUGGAUUUAUCUCACAUUUGUGAUAUUAAUAUUGAAUUUAUAUGUUGUUGAUGUGAAUAUUUUGUCAUAUAGAUAUUGAAUUUAUUGUAUUUUAGUAUUGAACUUAGGAUUUUAUUUCAAUUUUAUCUUUUAACUCUGAAAUUUCAAAACGAAGAUUAGAAAAAUACAUGAAAUGGUUGCCUCGUUUUUAUUCUUUCUUGGCUAUUUCCUUACAAAGUAUGCAGUGGUUUGAUAUUUAUUCCUCAGUUCCAUUCUUAUUUUCAUCUUCAUAUAACAUGCCUAAUACGGUGAGGCCUUAAUUCCUGGACAUAAGGCAUUUACGAUUUAGGGCAUGUGCUACGGUUUGCUGAUUUUUUUUUUUUUUUAGAAUUCAAGACUGUUAAUGGUGAUACCAUAGAUCUCUUUCGUUGAUUUUGACUUUUAUUUGAAGGUCUUGAACACAAAAACCAUAUGACCAGAAAGGCAGAUGUUUUCAGUUUGGAAUAGCUCUCUGUGGAGCUUUUAAACCGGGAAGUGAGUACUUUCAUGCCAGACAGUGGGUUUUGCAUUGUGAUCUGUUCUCUUUUUUUCUCAAAUAAUCAGUUCUUCCACUCUUAUCUCAUUGGAUUAACUAUUUUUGUAACCAGUACCGUAUUCUUGCUUGACCCCAUUACAAGCAGCAGUCGGCGUGGGCAGAAGGUUUUUAUUAUUUUUCUUUUGUAAAUAAUUUCACGGAAACAAUUUCUUGUUUAUGCAAAUGAUUCUAGUGCUUAAAUUGCUGUUAGGGUCCUAGGCCUUACAUUCCAAAAAACACACCCAAGACUUUCUGAAACUGCUUCAGCGCUGCUGGCAACAAGAUCCGACUCUCAGACCAGAUUUCUCUGAAAUAAUAGAAAUUCUUCAGCACAUAGCAAAAGAGAGUAAUAAUGAUCACAAGGAUAAAUCAUCCCAUGGCUUUCUCUCAGCUCUUAGACGGGUUCAUCACUGAUAUUGAUAUUGGAGGAUUACACGACAGUAUAGCCUUUUUGUCCUGUAUAGUAGCCAGACUCUGACCAAAUAUCUAUUGAGUUGGUUGUUUCUACUCUUGAAAGAUUCGGUGGUAUUGUGCUUGCCUUAAUUUUCUUUUAGAAUCUUCGUCUUUCUCCAAUUUAUCUAUUCAACUUGUUCUCCUGUGAAUAGGAUGGAUACAAGAUUAGUGAAGGUCGAAAAUUCGAGGUAUCAUUUAUAAUUAAUUUUUUGCUAAUUGUAUUCCAUGUGUUUUGACUGGGAGUUUUUUCGAGCCUCCUUGUACCAAACCCUCGAAGUUGACUGCAGAGGCGUUAUGUGUUGAUACUUGAGAUGUACCAAGUUUAACUGUAAUAAAAUCGGCGUAUGUUAUGCAAUUU